CAUUCCCUUCUCUCUCACAAGUCACACAUGUCACAAAACUUCAUCAGUCCUCUCUCUCUCUCGGGCGACUCAAGAACGUUAUGCCAGAUCUCACCAGAUGUCGUUUAAUGACAGAUAUCAACUUGUGAUUGGAUCUGGUGGCUGAUAGGUCGUGGAGCGAAACCCUAACAACGUCGACGAAGCUGAACGGGUCUUAAUGACACCGAAUCAAUGAUUUUCUCUCUAUCGACACAAGAUCCACUGGGGUUGACCUCUAGGUCACCUGCUUCAGUUCUGGUUGGUUUCUCGAGCAUGUCCAUCGCAACUGAGACGAGAUCCCGGUGGUCGAUGGUGGUUGAGUGGCAUUGGCCAAAUUAGGAGGCACUUUGCAUAUCUCGAGGAAAAUGAUGGGAAAAGUGGGCCCGUUAUACCUCCAGAGAGACGCUUAAAGCCACUGCUGUUGAAUCCAAUGAGACACUUGAUGUCACAAGUGAUUCAGUUACAUCAUAUGCCGACCACCUCGAACUCAACACGAUACUCUUCUUAACAUGUUGUUCGAUGAAGGAACUUACACGAAACUCUACAGUUACAAGCAUCUUAUCAAUGGUUUCGCUGCUGACGUUUCUACCGAACAGAAACUUUACCGUUGGGAUGAUGAAUUUUCCAGUAAGUAGACAAACAGCCAGAAGGGUACAAAAAGCAAGCAACGGGAUCGAAGUAAAAGGGUAAACGAUUGUGUUAAUGUACGUGAGCCUCUGAGCCUCUGGAGCGUUUUCAGCUUCUCGGCCCACGCGUACCAGAGGGGGCAAUGUCGGCUCAUGAAAAUCUCAACUGAACCAAGAGCCUGUCGAAGCACCUGGUGCAACCUGUCGGACAAAUUGAUCGGUGCAGACCCCUUGAAUGCGGCCCUUUAUGGCAUACAGUAAACCGAUUUGCAUCCUCAACCAUGGUGGUCGGAGAACUCGCCCGGGUUCAUGGUGGAGGGGUAGGUCAGUCGGUAGCCAAAGAUUUGUAUUCAAAUGCUAUGACAAUCCUAAUACCGUCUCACUGUAUGGACGGGUCGGGUGGGUUAGGUAACAUGUCAGGUGGUUUGGUCCAUCAACGCUAUGUGUAGGCGAGCAGGAGUUGCAGCAGAAGCAAGAGCCAUAGUAGAAGUCGAAGCCGAAGCAGAAGGUUUCUGUCAAAAGAAGCUUAAACUCGGGAGAGUGGAAUAACAAGCUUAUUAUGGCCGGUGAAGUUGGAUAAACAAGCACAGAACCAAAAGAUUAAGAGAGCUUUGGGAUAUCUGAUGUAAUAAUAAUAGUCUGUUUAUUACAUAGGAAUAGUGAGUCUUAUCCUUGGUCAUUGCAUGAGAGAUUUGCCCCUCCUCUAACUUCUAAGCGUACAAUCCCUUUCGAAGACCCGUUUGCAAGAGGGCGGAACAGAAAGAGCAAUACUUGAUAAUCCAUUACACAAACUAACUGGAGAGUCUCAAUAGUGUUCACCUCGGUCUUCAAUUUUCAGUUUUUUGAUGUUUUUUGUGUGUUGUAAUGGUUGUUCUCUAGCAUAAUUUGGCCGGGACAAAUGGGCGUGUUGUUUUCUGCUUGUUAUCCUUCCCCUCUUAGCAACUUGCUAAGCCCUAAGAGUGGGAUGUUUAUGGUUGAAUAAAGUAGCUUUGUUUUUCUUUCAAAAUAUAUAUAUUAAAAGAUCAACCGGAAUUAUUUUAUUAAAUAAGUGAAAAAUGAAAAUUCAAAAUCA